rnacentral:rRNA from 1 species
CAGUCGAACGGAGCUGCUUUGAUGAAGUUUUCGGAUGGAUUUAAAGCAACUUACUGGCGGACGGGUGAGUAACGCGUGGGUAACCUGCCUCACACUGGGGGAUAACAGUUAGAAAUAGCUGCUAAUACCGCAUAAGCGCACGGUUCCGCAUGGAACAGUGUGAAAAACUCCGGUGGUGUGAGAUGGACCCGCGUCUGAUUAGCCAGUUGGCGGGGUAACGGCCCACCGAAGCGACGAUCAGUAGCCGGCCUGAGAGGGUGAACGGCCACAUUGGGACUGAGACACGGCCCAAACUCCUACGGGAGGCAGCAGUGGGGAAUAUUGCACAAUGGGGGAAACCCUGAUGCAGCGACGCCGCGUGAGUGAAGAAGUAUUUCGGUAUGUAAAGCUCUAUCAGCAGGGAAGAAAGUGACGGUACCUGAAUAAGAAGCCCCGGCUAACUACGUGCCAGCAGCCGCGGUAAUACGUAGGGGGCAAGCGUUAUCCGGAUUUACUGGGUGUAAAGGGAGCGUAGACGGCAAGGCAAGUCUGAAGUGAAAGCCCGGUGCUUAACGCCGGGACUGCUUUGGAAACUGUUUAGCUGGAGUGCCGGAGAGGUAGGCGGAAUUCCUAGUGUAGCGGUGAAAUGCGUAGAUAUUAGGAAGAACACCAGUGGCGAAGGCGGCUUACUGGACGGUAACUGACGUUGAGGCUCGAAAGCGUGGGGAGCAAACAGGAUUAGAUACCCUGGUAGUCCACGCGGUAAACGAUGAAUG